rnacentral:rRNA from 1 species
GACGGAAGGUGCAAGCGUUGCUCGGAUUCACUGGGUUUAAAGGGUGCGUAGGUGGGUCUGUAAGUCAGUGGUGAAAUCUCCGUGCUUAACAUGGAAACUGCCAUUGAUACUAUAGGUCUUGAAUUUUCUGGAGGUAAGCGGAAUAUGUCAUGUAGCGGUGAAAUGCUUAGAUAUGACAUAGAACACCAAUUGCGAAGGCAGCUUACUACGGGAACAUUGACACUGAGGCACGAAAGCGUGGGGAUCAAACAGG